CUUUCCUGUGUCGGAAAGAGGCCAGGUAGAGGAGGAUAUGAUAUCCUUUUUAUUCCCAUGCAGAUGUCUGAGGCUUCUUUUUCCUUUGGUCAAAUCUGAUUUGUAUUUCUUCUUGGUUUAUACCCCAGAGUACUCCAGGCUGCUAUCUGCCUA
ensembl:misc_RNA